AAGGAAGAGAAUAAAAUACUCCUCUCUUUUUAACUGCCAAAUACAGCUUUCUAUAAACAAUUUUAAGGCCAGGUUAACAAAUACAUAGACACGCACACAAACACAAUUUCAAACUGAUGCUUGCACCAGUCAAGGCCACCUACCAGGAAAAUCAC